rnacentral:rRNA from 1 species
UUUUUGAAAAUAAUUUAAAGUCUAAUCUGCCCACUGAUUUUAAAUUAAAGGGCUGCAGUAUUUUGACUGUACAAAGGUAGCAUAAUCAAUAGUCUCUUAAUUGGUGACUUGUAUGAAAGAUUUGAUGAAAUAUAAACUGUCUCUAUUAAAUUUAUAAAAUUUAAUUUUUUAGUUAAAAAGCUAAAAUAUAUUUAAAAGACGAGAAGACCCUAUAGAGUUUUAUAAUUCAUUUAUUUUUAUUUUUGUUUAAAUAUUAAAAAUAAAAAUAAAUGAAUUAUUUUAUUGGGGUGAUAGAAAAAUUAAAUAAACUUUUUUUAAAAUUUUUACAUUAAUAUAUGAUUAUAUGAUCCGUAAAUUACGAUUAAAAGAUUAAAUUACCUUAGGGAUAACAGCGUAAUUUUUUUUUUUAGUUCAAAUAAGAAAAAGAGUUUGCGACCUCGAUGUUGGAUUAAGAUAAAAUUUAAAAUGCAAAAGUUUAAAAUUUUUGAUCUGUUCGAUCAUUAAAAUCUUACA